GGGAGAUAUAAACAAGAGAGAUAUAAACAAGGGAGAUAUAAACAAGAAGAAACAGGACUGAAUAAACGUGUGCAGAAGGAUCCUGUUGCAGCGUUGUUCUUCUUGGCCAGUUGAGCACGCGCAAGACAAGACAGUCUGUAUGUCAGCAGUUCCAAUCUGGUGAUGAAGGCCUGGAAGAUUCCAGGAGAGCAGCUGAUCUUUCAUCUUUAUUGAAAAUCCAAAGAAGCUGGUUCUAAUAUAAGCAAAGGAAUGCAUCAAUAUCAGCAAUGAAAUAGAUACAUUUGCCAACAAGGGUGCGGGCAAAAGAGGCAAAAACCAAAGUGUAGGGACUCUUGUGCACUGUGUAAAAGUAUCGCCUGUCAAUAAAGAGCUGAACAGUCAAAGAGAGACUAGGCAGAGAUCUCUGGAAGAGAAGGAACUCGGAGAGGGAGUCAGGAUGAAAGAUGGCCACCAAGAUCCUAAAGAAGUCAAAGGUCCUGUUACUCAGCAUUCUGCCAGGUGGUAUUGAUGCCUGAAAUUAACUGACAAUUUAAAGCAAUCCAGAACCACCUGGAAGAUGGGGAGGUCGGCCGGCCUAUGAGGCUCUGAAGUAUUCGCCACUUCCAGCACAAGAAGUGAUUUUGGAGGGAUAAAAACAUUUCAAAUUUAGUUAAGAAAGAUAAUUUACCUGGCUCCGUGGCACACAGCUGUAAUUCUAGCUGCUUGGGAGCCUCAGGUUAGAUGGACAACGUAGCAAGAACCUGCCUCACAAGAAAAAUAAAGAAGAAGCAGAGGAAAGAGGAGGAAAAUGAGAAAAAAAAAAGAAGAAAGUUUUUCCACUACUUUCUCCUUUAGUCUCCUGUCAACCCAUAAUAAAGAUAUAUAGUCCCUUAGCAUUUUAUAUACAAAAGCAGAAGCAUAAAAUCUUAUGGAAAGGGUCUUUUGUAGAGAAGACAGCAUUUUGUCAUUUUUCUCUUGUAUGUGUGAAAAAUGAGGUCAG
ensembl:lincRNA Gm13465 predicted gene 13465